CUGUUCCAUCUUGUUGAAGAAUACAAUUCGUUUUCUCCUCCUCUAGGGUGAUAUCAUUUUACAUGAAGAAAAAAGUUCUCUCGGAUGGCAGUUAUACGUUUCGGAAGCACCUUCUAAUCAGGGAUGGGUGAUUCAUUAUUAGCUUCAGCAGGCGAUCCAUCUGACAUGUAAGGGGAAAAAAUUAGCAGCUGUCACGGCAUGAUGAGUUAAUUUCCUGAUGGGCCUGACACCGAAAAGCCAUUUGGAGACAUGGCAGAGGCUGACAAGAAAACCUGGCGCUGCUUUAUAAUUGGAGAUAAAGAAAGGGCAGAGAAACAGGCCGAGGAUGGCCCCCAGGUCUGCAGGCUGGGGGGUGCCUGUGAGCUCUGCGUGGUCGUGGCUAUGGCCUGAGGCCGUGGCCCUGGCUGGCUGUGUCCAGGUCCGGGGUGGUCGCCACUGCUCCCUCUGGGAUGAGAGUGGCCCGGGGCCUGGCAUUCUCCCCAAGAGGCAGAGCGUGCCUGCUGGCCUCCUUUCCAUGGUCACCUUGGCGAUUUUCAUAACUGGAGCUCAGGAUUCCCAUUGUGGGAUGACUUUUCAUCACUAUGAGAAAGUAACCCAUUAAGUAAAUACCAUGGAAACCCAGGCAGGCGGGAGUGGUGGGCCUGGGGCAGCAGGCGGGAUUCAGUCUGGCUUCCCUCGCCCCCCGCCUUCAGCUGCACCUCCACAGGGCAUCCAUUGCAAACCCAACAAGAUGAAAAAAACACUGUAAGAAAUAUCCUGAAGAUGGAAAUUAGAGAAAUCAGCAUUAUGAAGCCAGCUUUGAAAUACCAGGCUGGAUGUGCUGGUCUUCACUGGGUGAAGGAGGUAUCUGCUGAAGGCUUAGCAUGUGGGCUUCUAGAAUCCAGGCCCCACGUCUGGACCCUGAAACCCUCUGGUGAGAAAACAAAGAGGCCCAGCCCGUUACAGGCUGGGACACGUCGAUGACUCUUGGCUUUCUUGGACUCUGGAUCUGUAAAAUCGACAAGGCAGAGGACACAACUCUGCUUUUCUCUAGGCUGGACUCGAAGGAUGCCCCCCUAAAGAGCUCACCAGCUGGAGACAGAAGACAGCCGUGGUCACAAAGCCCAUUACCAGAAUUAAAUAAAUCCGUUCUAAAUCUCCCAGGCAAAGAAUCAUUUACUUCCUCCAUGGCCCUGCAUUUUCAAUACCUUUUAAUAAAUUCUUUUAAAAUGACCUAAUUUCAACAUGGCUUUCAACUUCAUAAAAAGACAAUUUAUAACCAGGAUAAACAUGAACCUAGGACAUGCCAUUUCAGUCCUCUCCAGGAUCUCACGUUACGCUUCAAAUAACUUUUUAAGUGGAAGAAUAAAA
rnacentral:lncRNA from 1 species